UGAGGGUGAAACGGGCCGUCCCCAUACCCCGUCCGGUAUGGGCGCCAAAACACAUAAGAUCUCCAUACCCCGUCCGGUAUGGGAGACCACAAUCCCGGUAGGGUUCCCUAUGGACCCGGUCCGUCCACCAUCUCCCAAGAUAUCUAGUCGGGCUGAACACAUUAUACAAUUUCCAUUCACAUAAUCUUUCAUUCUCCUUUUCCCUCAGUC
rnacentral:lncRNA from 1 species